GUAUGUCACGAGCGUUACCCGGAUUUAUUGGGCGUAAAGCGCGUCUAGGUGGUUAUAUAAGUCUGAUGUGAAAAUGCAGGGCUCAACUCUGUAUUGCGUUGGAAACUGUAUAACUAGAGUACUGGAGAGGUAAGCGGAACUACAAGUGUAGAGGUGAAAUUCGUAGAUAUUUGUAGGAAUGCCGAUGGGGAAGCCAGCUUACUGGACAGAUACUGACGCUGAAGCGCGAAAGCGUGGGUAGCAAACAGGAUUAGAUACCCUGGUAGUCCACGCUGUAAACGAUGAUUACUAGGUGUUGGGGGUCGAACCUCAGCGCCCAAGCAAACGCGAUAAGUAAUCCGCCUGGGGAGUACGUACGCAAGUAUGAAACUCAAAGGAAUUGACGG
rnacentral:rRNA from 1 species